GGCAGGAAUCUUCAUUUGGAUUCAAUUUUUCAAAAGGUGGGACCGGUCAUUGCAGCACAGGGCUGAAAAAAGGGAACAGCAGCUCUUUCCACCAGAAAAAAAAUCUGGAAGCUUUGGCUUGGAGGUGCAGUUGUUGGGGCAGCCUGGGCACUUCUUGGGCAGCAAAGAGCUUUCUGUGGUGGCA